AGUGAACGCUGGCGAUAGGCCUAACACAUGCAAGUCGAGCGGCAGCACAGUAAGAGCUUGCUCUUACGGGUGGCGAGUGACGGACGGGUGAGGAAUACAUCGGAAUCUACUUUUUCGUGGGGGAUAACGUAGGGAAACUUACGCUAAUACCGCAUACGACCUACGGGUGAAAGCAGGGGAUCUUCGGACCUUGCGCGAUUGAAUGAGCCGAUGUCGGAUUAGCUAGUUGGCGGGGUAAAGGCCCACCAAGGCGACGAUCCGUAGCUGGUCUGAGAGGAUGAUCAGCCACACUGGAACUGAGACACGGUCCAGACUCCUACGGGAGGCAGCAGUGGGGAAUAUUGGACAAUGGGCGCAAGCCUGAUCCAGCCAUACCGCGUGGGUGAAGAAGGCCUUCGGGUUGUAAAGCCCUUUUGUUGGGAAAGAAAAGCAGCAGGUUAAUACCCCGCUGUUCUGACGGUACCCAAAGAAUAAGCACCGGCUAACUUCGUG
rnacentral:rRNA from 1 species